rnacentral:lncRNA from 10 species
AGAUAUUAAACAUUAUGGCAGACUGAUAAGAUACUUAGUGCCAAACAAGAUAUUUAACAUGAAAAAGCUAUAAAAAACAUUAUUGGGGCAAAUGAAGAAACUGGGUUAUGGCCUGUAGAUUAGAUAAAAUAAUUGUAUAAAUGUUAUAUUUCCUGAAUUAAUAUCUUUACUAUGAUUAUCCAAACGUAUAUCCCGGUUCUCAGGAAAUGCAUUAGGGACAUGAUGUCUGCAACCUUCUCUCAAAGUGGUCAAAAGUAAAAAAAAAAAAAAAAAAAAAAAAAAAAAAAAAAAAAAAAA